rnacentral:ncRNA from 2 species
UUAUGCAGAAGAGGAGCACUGCCCAGGCAGGUGUUUCGUGGAGCCGCAACUCCGAUACGAAAUACUCAGGGGGAGCAGUGCCGAGGUAGAUCAAGGUUGCUGGAAUUGAUCUGUCGGUUGACUUGGGUUGAGUCCCAUCAACUGUCAUCAGCACCGUCUGAUGAAGAGCUUCUGAGGGA